rnacentral:sRNA from 1 species
GCCCCGAAAGCACAAACCCACACACGUGCCGGCACGAUGACCUGGGUGCCCGCAGCUCAAGCUGCUGGUUGGUCAUUGGGGUACGUGGAGGCCUAAC